rnacentral:lncRNA from 1 species
UUUUUUUUUUGAAAACUGAAAUCACAGAAUAAAUAACCACGUGACCAACAACAGGCAGACAAAGACCCAGAUUCCUGUGCCAACGGAAAAAUAACGUUCUAGCACAAGUUCAAAGGCUCCACAGUGCCCCUGUGGCUAGGGGGUGCGCUCCCCAAUAUAUAUACCUCCACCCAUCUACACUCACACGACCCCACCUACAUACAACUCCCCACGCAAAUACACACGCUCCACGUACCCAUGCUCCUGGCUAAGCCCGCGGUGAUUUUUCUAAGCAUUUCCCUGAUGACUAAUGAUGCUGACCAUCUUUUUUUUUUUUUUUUUUUUUUUACAUGCCUGUUGUAUAUCUUCUUCGGAAAAAAAAAAAACUGUCCAUUCAAGUCCUUGGCCCAUCUUGAAGCGGGGUUGUUUAGUUUUGUUGCUGUGGAGUUAUAGCAGUUCUUUAUGUAUGCUGGAUACUAGGCCUUUUAUGGGCGGUGAUUUGUGGACGAUUUCUCCCAUUUGUGGAUUGUCAUUUUACGCUCUUGACAGCAUCUUUUGCUUCACCCAAGUUUUCGAUCAUCCUGGAAGGAGAGAAAGAAGGUGUGUGGGGGGGAUAAGGCACCAGGGAGAAAAUCCCCAAAACAUGCCCCCCAAGAACCUACUUCCUCUACCCACACCCCACUUGCCUACAAUUACCACCCAGUCAAUCCAUUCGGAUUAUUAAUCCACUGGAUGGAUGAAUCCUGUGAUCAGGUUGCAGCUCUCCAAAUCUAAUUAUUUCUCUUCUGAACUUCCCAGUAAUAAUAGGAGCUUUUGGGGGACACCUCAUAUCUGAGCUAUAACAGCUGCUUAUGUUUUUAUGGUCCUAUGUAUGAAAUAUUGCUAAAUCCAAGGCACAGAAUAUUUACCAUUGUGUUUUCUUCUAGGACUAUUACAACUUAAAGUUCUAAUAUUUACAACUUUGGUCCAUUUGGAGUAACUUCUCAUAUAUGGAGUGAGGUAAGGGUUCAGCUUGUCUGUUGGGUGGAUAUCCAAUCAUACUAGACCUUUUAUCCCUCUCAGGACUGGGAAUAGAUCCCAGGGGCCACUCUACCUCUGAGUCAUACCCUCAGCCCUUUUUUAUUUUUUUGAUUUUGAGAUUGGAUCUCCCUAAAUUGCCCAAGCUGGCCUCAAACUUUUGAUUCUCCUGCCUCAGUCUCCCAAGGGAUUAUUAUGUAAUUCCUGAGAUUAGAGGUAGUCACCAAUGUGCCCAGUUUAGCACUGUUUUUUUUUAAAGGCUGGUCUUUCCUCUUCAAAUGAUCUUGAUACUCCUGUUGAAAAUAAAUUAACCAUAUACAUAAGAGACUCUUUUCUGAACUUAAAAUCGACUCCAG